rnacentral:rRNA from 1 species
GAUGAACGCUGGCGGCAGGCCUAACACAUGCAAGUCGAACGAAGUCUUCGGACUUAGUGGCGGACGGGUGAGUAACACGUGGGAACGUGCCUUUAGGUUCGGAAUAACUCAGGGAAACUUGUGCUAAUACCGAAUGUGCCCUUCGGGGGAAAGAUUUAUCGCCUUUAGAGCGGCCCGCGUCUGAUUAGCUAGUUGGUGAGGUAAAGGCUCACCAAGGCGACGAUCAGUAGCUGGUCUGAGAGGAUGAUCAGCCACAUUGGGACUGAGACACGGCCCAAACUCCUACGGGAGGCAGCAGUGGGGAAUCUUGCGCAAUGGGCGAAAGCCUGACGCAGCCAUGCCGCGUGAAUGAAGAAGGCCUUAGGGUUGUAAAGCUCUUUUGGCAGGGACGAUAAUGACGGUACCUGCAGAAUAAGCCCCGGCAAACUUCGUGCCAGCAGCCGCAGUAA